rnacentral:rRNA from 1 species
AACGAACGCUGGCGGCAGGCCUAACACAUGCAAGUCGAACGGACCCUUCGGGGUUAGUGGCGCACGGGUGAGUAACACGUGGAAACGUGCCCUUGAGUACGGAACAACAGUUGGAAACGACUGCUAAUACCGUAUAAUAUCGCGAGAUCAAAGAUUUAUCGCUCAAGGAUCGGCCCGCGUUAGAUUAGGUAGUUGGUGGGGUAAAAGCCUACCAAGCCUACGAUCUAUAGCUGGUCUUAGAGGAUGACCAGCCACACUGGAACUGAGACAAGGUCCAGACGCCUACGGGAGGCAGCAGUGAGGAAUAGUGGACAAUGGGCGAAAGCCUGAUCCAGCCAUGCCGCGUGAAUGAUGAAGGCCUUAGGGUUGUAAAGUUCUUUUAGUAGUGAAGAUGAUGACGGUAACUACAGAAAAAGCUCCGGCUAACUCCGUGCCAGCCGCCGCCGUAA